UACGUAGGGUGCGAGCGUUAAUCGGAAUUACUGGGCGUAAAGCGUGCGCAGGCGGUUUGUUAAGUCAGAUGUGAAAGCCCCGGGCUUAACCUGGGAACGGCAUUUGAAACUGGCAGGCUGGAGUGCGGCAGAGGGGGGUGGAAUUCCACGUGUAGCAGUGAAAUGCGUAGAGAUGUGGAGGAACACCGAUGGCGAAGGCAGCCCCCUGGGCCGACACUGACGCUCAGGCACGAAAGCGUGGGGAGCAAACAGG
rnacentral:rRNA from 1 species